rnacentral:rRNA from 1 species
GCAGUCGAGCGGCAGCACAAGGGAGUUUACUUCUGAGGUGGCGAGCGGCGGACGGGUGAGUAAUGCCUAGGGAUCUGCCCAGUCGAGGGGGAUAACAGUUGGAAACGACUGCUAAUACCGCAUACGCCCUACGGGGGAAAGGAGGGGACCUUCGGGCCUUCCGCGAUUGGAUGAACCUAGGUGGGAUUAGCUAGUUGGUGAGGUAAUGGCUCACCAAGGCGACGAUCCCUAGCUGUUCUGAGAGGAUGAUCAGCCACACUGGGACUGAGACACGGCCCAGACUCCUACGGGAGGCAGCAGUGGGGAAUAUUGCACAAUGGGGGAAACCCUGAUGCAGCCAUGCCGCGUGUGUGAAGAAGGCCUUCGGGUUGUAAAGCACUUUCAGUAGGGAGGAAAGGGUGUAACUUAAUACGUUAUAUCUGUGACGUUACCUACAGAAGAAGGACCGGCUAACUCCGUGCCAGCAGCCGCGGUAAUACGGAGGGUCCGAGCGUUAAUCGGAAUUACUGGGCGUAAAGCGUGCGCAGGCGGUUUGUUAAGCGAGAUGUGAAAG